ACUCCUACGGGAGGCAGCAGUGAGGAAUAUUGGUCAAUGGAGGCAACUCUGAACCAGCCAUGCCGCGUGCAGGAAGACGGUUCUAUGGAUUGUAAACUGCUUUUGUACAGGAAGAAAUUAUCCCUCGUGAGGGAGCUUGACAGUACUGUAAGAAUAAGGGUCGGCUAACUCCGUGCCGGCAGCCGCGGUAAUACGGAGGAUCCAAGCGUUAUCCGGAAUCAUUGGGUUUAAAGGGUUCGUAGGCGGAUUAGUAAGUCAGGGGUGAAAGUUUGCGGCUUAACCGUAAAAUUGCCUUUGAUACUGCUAGUCUUGAAUGUUUGUGAAGUAGCUAGAAUAUGUAGUGUAGCGGUGAAAUGCUUAGAUAUUACAUGGAAUACCGAUUGCGAAGGCAGGUUACUAACAAAUGAUUGACGCUGAUGAACGAAAGCGUGGGUAGCGAACAGGAUUAGAUACCCUGGUAGUC
rnacentral:rRNA from 1 species